rnacentral:lncRNA from 1 species
CACCCUUUUCUUUUUAAUUUCUUUUUAAUUUCUUUUUUAUUAUUGAUUUCUUUUAGCCAAACAUUUUGGUGAAUAUAUUUCAUCAAAUAUAUUUUUAUUAUUACCAUUAAUUAAUUAUUUUCAUAAUUUUAAUUAGACCUUUUUGCCUUUAUAUUUGAUUAUGGUUGAUGAUAAUCUAUUGUUUAUUGGUAAUUGGUCCUAGAUUUGAUUAAAUCUUCAACACUUCAAACAUGUUGAUGAGUGAUCAAUGGGUUAUUCUUGAAACUUUGAG